GUGUUGUAGACCCGAAACCGGGUGAUCUAUCCAUGGGCAGAGUGAAGGUAAAGUAAAAUUUACUGGAGGCUCGAACCGGGUAGCGUUUAAAAGCUAUCGGAUGACCUGUGGAUAGGGGUGAAAAGCCAAUCGAACUCGGAUAUAGCUGGUUCUCCUCGAAAUAGCUUUAGGGCUAGCCUUGUUUUAGAUUACAGGAGGUAGAGCACUGAAUAGUCUAGGGGAAGUAAUUCUACCGAAACUUAUCAAACUCCGAAUGCCUGAAAAUCGAUGAACAGGAGUCAGACCAUGAGGGAUAAGCUUCAUAGUCAAAAGGGAAACAGCCCAGACCACCAGUUAAGGUCCCAAAAUACAGAUUAAGUGGGAAAGGAUGUAAUACUACUCAGACAACCAGGAUGUUGGCUCAGAAGCAGCCAUACAUUUAAAGAGUGCGUAAUAGCUCACUGGUCAAGUGGUAAUGCGCCGAAGAUGAACGGGGCUAAAUCUGAUACCGAAACUGUGGGAUAGAAAAGCAAUUAUGCGAGAAGUAUGGUUAAGAUUAGGAAAUAUAUCAACUAGUAAAGUAAGAGAGAAAGACAUUAAAUAAAACUAUUAAACGAUACAAUUUCUAAAACACUUAACAACAUACAACUGGCAUAAUAGCUUUUCUAUCGGUAGAGGAGCGUUGUAUAUGAAUUGAAGCAAAAAGCGCAAGCAAUUGUGGAUUAUAUACAAGUGAGAAUGCUGGCAUGAGUAGCGAAAAGGGAUGUGAGAAUCAUCCCCGUCGAAAGCCCAAGGAUUCCUGAGCAAGGCUCGUCCUCUCAGGGUAAGUCGGGACCUAAGGCGAGGCCGAAAGGCGUAGUCGAUGGACAACAGGUAGAAAUUCCUGUACUACAAGAUUGUGAUUGAGAGAAGUACUGACGCAGAAGGAAAAGUCGAGCGUGUGAAUGGUAGAACACGUCCAAGUAACAAGCCAGAAUAUACAGGCAAAUCCGUAUAUUCGUUAACGUAAGUUAUCAUGGGGAGCAGAAAGAUGCGAAGCGACAGAUUCAAACUGCCAAGAAAAGGUGCUAUCGAAUAAUCUUGUACCCGUACCGCAAACCGACACAGGUAGGCAAGAAGAGAAUUCUAAGACGCGCGGAAGAACCUUUGUUAAGGAACUCGGCAAAAUAAUCCCGUAAGUUAGCGAGAAGGGAUGCCUAAGAAAUUAGGUCGCAGAGAAUAGGCCCAAGCGACUGUUUACCAAAAACACAAGUAUCUGCUAAAUCGAAAGAUGAAGUAUAGGUGCUGACACCUGCCCGGUGCUGGAAGGUCAAGGGGACUUGUUAGAGCAAUCGAAGCAACGAACUUAAGCCCCAGUAAACGGCGGCCGUAACUAUAACGGUCCUAAGGUAGCGAAAUUCCUUGUCGGGUAAGUUCCGACCCGCACGAAAGGUGUAAC
rnacentral:rRNA from 1 species